rnacentral:rRNA from 1 species
UACAGAGGGUGCAAACGUUGCUCGGAAUCACUGGGCGUAAAGCGCGUGUAGGCGGCAAUGCAAGUCGGGCGUGAAAUCCCACGGCUCAACCGUGGAAGUGCACUCGAAACUGCAUAGCUAGAGUCCUGGAGAGGAAGGUGGAAUGCUUGGUGUAGAGGUGAAAUUCGUAGAUAUCAAGCGGAACACCGGUGGCGAAGGCGGCCUUCUGGACAGUGACUGACGCUGAGACGCGAAAGCGUGGGGAGCAAACAGG